GGUUAAGCGACUAAGCGUACACGGUGGAUGCCCUGGCAGUCAGAGGCGAUGAAGGACGUGCUAAUCUGCGAUAAGCGUCGGUAAGGUGAUAUGAACCGUUAUAACCGGCGAUUUCCGAAUGGGGAAACCCAGUGUGUUUCGACACACUAUCAUUAACUGAAUCCAUAGGUUAAUGAGGCGAACCGGGGGAACUGAAACAUCUAAGUACCCCGAGGAAAAGAAAUCAACCGAGAUUCCCCCAGUAGCGGCGAGCGAACGGGGAGGAGCCCAGAGCCUGAAUCAGUGUGUGUGUUAGUGGAAGCGUCUGGAAAGGCGCGCGAUACAGGGUGACAGCCCCGUACACAAAAAUGCACAUGCUGUGAGCUCGAUGAGUAGGGCGGGACACGUGGUAUCCUGUCUGAAUAUGGGGGGACCAUCCUCCAAGGCUAAAUACUCCUGACUGACCGAUAGUGAACCAGUACCGUGAGGGAAAGGCGAAAAGAACCCCGGCGAGGGGAGUGAAAAAGAACCUGAAACCGUGUACGUACAAGCAGUGGGAGCACGCUUAGGCGUGUGACUGCGUACCUUUUGUAUAAUGGGUCAGCGACUUAUAUUCUGUAGCAAGGUUAACCGAAUAGGGGAGCCGAAGGGAAACCGAGUCUUAACUGGGCGUUAAGUUGCAGGGUAUAGACCCGAAACCCGGUGAUCUAGCCAUGGGCAGGUUGAAGGUUGGGUAACACUAACUGGAGGACCGAACCGACUAAUGUUGAAAAAUUAGCGGAUGACUUGUGGCUGGGGGUGAAAGGCCAAUCAAACCGGGAGAUAGCUGGUUCUCCCCGAAAGCUAUUUAGGUAGCGCCUCGUGAAUUCAUCUCCGGGGGUAGAGCACUGUUUCGGCAAGGGGGUCAUCCCGACUUACCAACCCGAUGCAAACUGCGAAUACCGGAGAAUGUUAUCACGGGAGACACACGGCGGGUGCUAACGUCCGUCGUGAAGAGGGAAACAACCCAGACCGCCAGCUAAGGUCCCAAAGUCAUGGUUAAGUGGGAAACGAUGUGGGAAGGCCCAGACAGCCAGGAUGUUGGCUUAGAAGCAGCCAUCAUUUAAAGAAAGCGUAAUAGCUCACUGGUCGAGUCGGCCUGCGCGGAAGAUGUAACGGGGCUAAACCAUGCACCGAAGCUGCGGCAGCGACGCUUAUGCGUUGUUGGGUAGGGGAGCGUUCUGUAAGCCUGUGAAGGUGUGCUGUGAGGCAUGCUGGAGGUAUCAGAAGUGCGAAUGCUGACAUAAGUAACGAUAAAGCGGGUGAAAAGCCCGCUCGCCGGAAGACCAAGGGUUCCUGUCCAACGUUAAUCGGGGCAGGGUGAGUCGACCCCUAAGGCGAGGCCGAAAGGCGUAGUCGAUGGGAAACAGGUUAAUAUUCCUGUACUUGGUGUUACUGCGAAGGGGGGACGGAGAAGGCUAUGUUGGCCGGGCGACGGUUGUCCCGGUUUAAGCGUGUAGGCUGGUUUUCCAGGCAAAUCCGGAAAAUCAAGGCUGAGGCGUGAUGACGAGGCACUACGGUGCUGAAGCAACAAAUGCCCUGCUUCCAGGAAAAGCCUCUAAGCAUCAGGUAACAUCAAAUCGUACCCCAAACCGACACAGGUGGUCAGGUAGAGAAUACCAAGGCGCUUGAGAGAACUCGGGUGAAGGAACUAGGCAAAAUGGUGCCGUAACUUCGGGAGAAGGCACGCUGAUAUGUAGGUGAAGCGACUUGCUCGUGGAGCUGAAAUCAGUCGAAGAUACCAGCUGGCUGCAACUGUUUAUUAAAAACACAGCACUGUGCAAACACGAAAGUGGACGUAUACGGUGUGACGCCUGCCCGGUGCCGGAAGGUUAAUUGAUGGGGU
rnacentral:rRNA from 1 species